CUAGUAGUAUUAUUUUAUCCGAAAAAGAUAUCCAAAAUUUCGGUAGCAGUCUAGUUCUUUCAUUUGGACAAGUGCAAAUAUUAGAUUAAAUUAGACCAAGUAUUAAAGUAAAAAAUAUAACAAAACCAAUGCUUUGCAAUUUUCAUGCACAUAUCCCAACUCUUAAUUUUUACCAAAACGUGGUAUAAUUUUUCAACUUCAGCUCCCGGCAACUAUCUACCUUCUCGACGGCGGCGUCUGCAUUAGAUCCUUCACCGGGACGUUGUCCGGUGUCAUCGUUAUCUCGACGAGAAAUUUGCCUAAGGCAGUUCGUCGACGCAGCUUCGUCCUCGAACUCGAAGUUGAGCGCGUAACUCGUCGGAUCGUAGCGGAAAUCAGAGUAGUUGAACCGCCUCCUGUUCUUGCCGCUCCGUCCAUUAAUCAGUCGUCGCAGCCGAUCUCCAAUUCUUGAUCUCGAGACUCUAGAGUCCUCCCCGGCGUCUGUUGCCUGUCCUCAUCGUUCUCAAGAAGCUCGGUGUGGAUUCCCCCAGAAACAACAAAUCGAUGACUUCAGCUUGUCUUUCAGGGACGACGUGAUGGGAGAACUUUUUCAGUGGUAAUCAAGGUUGAAGUUUUGAUUCUACAGGAGUAUGGACAGGCGAAAGGAAAUGGUAUUCUCGCCUCAAUGCGAGUUAUUGGGAGGUUGUGGAAUGCCUUAUAAGAUUGAUUGGGCCACCACGUCAUGUGGUUGCGGACAAUAGCUGCAUUUUUAUGGCAUGUGAGUAUGUGACACAAUGAUAAGCCUUUCUGUUGAAGGAAGAACAGGUGCAACUUUCAAUGGAUGAAUCAACUUCAGCUGAUCUUUUGAAAGCUUUGGGCUAUUGGGCAGGUAUUAUGCAAUGUUGUCUUUGACAUGUUUUUUUUUUAAUAAGCAUGUUGUCUUUGGCAUGUUUCUUAUGACCUGUAUUAUAUUUGAACUUUGAAGAUAAGUGAUAGAGGUGGUCAUGGCCAUGUGAGGCCUAGGUUAGGUGCCUGGCUAUUAGGUUCCAACCCAAAACUUGGGCCUGUCUAGCCAUGCCCUAAAGAGAUUAAAAGGUUUGGGUCUACCCACUGGGCUUUGGCUAGUUGACUUGUCACAUAGUGCAAAAAUGAUUCUCUUCCAUCCCUACCUCCCCCACAAUGUGUGGAUGUGUGAGUACUUUUUUUUCCCGUCUUCUCAACUUUCAUACUCAACAAGUAGUGUAAACUGUUCAGUUGCCAUCUGCAAGGUUGCAUAAUUUCAUAUAUAUCCAUUAUCCUUGGAUGUUAGUUCUUCAUUCUUCUUCGACGAACUAAUGCUUUUUAUCAUCUAAAAUGCAUUUUUUGUGUGGGGUUGUAAGAUAGGAUGGCAGAGUCUCUAUCUGGAAACAAUAUUCAUGUUCCCUU